UGCCCCAUGGCUGAGUUGGUUACAGCGUCCGACUGUUACCUUGGCAGGGCACAUCGGAAGGUCGUGAGUUCGAGCCUCACUGGGGCAG
rnacentral:tRNA from 1 species